UUGGUAGAUGCUUUUUCAGGAUGGCCUGAAGCUUUCCUGUGCUGGACCAACCGAGCUAGAAAGGUAAUGAAGAAAUUAUUAAAUGAGAUUAUACCAAGAUUUGGAGUUCCAAGUGAGGCCUUAUUGGACAGAGGCUCACAUUUUAUUUCUAGGGCUGAAACAAAAGCCUCUGGACCCUGACCUUUUUGACCUGGUGUUGCUUUCAUGUGUCAAGGGCUGGAUUUUCUGCGUGAAGCCUCCCAGCUGAUCUCAAAGGGAGGUUGCCAAAACGCAGGGACUGGGGCUUUGUGGACAACAUACACACCUUUCAGACCCCAUCAAAACUAUCCAGAUUCUGCAAAAACUCCCACAUUUAACUUACAUCAAAUAAUCCGUGCACAUAACUGCCUGUGUUGCCAGAAAUCCCGCAGGACCACAAAGCUCACUUUGCCAGGGGCCAUCAGGAUCCACCCCAACCCCGGAAAACCCCACUGCUCACCUCAUAGCUGUGGGCUGAUCCAACAAAAACCUUCCCAAUGUCCAGCUGGUCAAAGCUGAAGCGCAGCUGGGGCCCUAUGCCGCUCCCUUUGAUGCGCAGGGGCAGCCUGGUCUCACGGCCUGGGGAGAGGUUGCCAUGUCAGUACCAGAAUUCCUUCAGUUCGCCUGGAUUUUCCAGGCAGCCUCAGAGCCAGACGCUGACUCCGGGCUGGGUGGCACCAGCACUAGGUGCUCCGCGAGAAGAUACAGGACCCCUCUCUUCCCUCAGCAGAUAAACUUUGGGGCUGGUUUCUAACUUCUGACGGAGCCCUUGGGCUGGUUUGUAGCUUAGCAAUCACUUUGCACCCUGAGAAAGUGAUGCUGCGAAUAAAAUGUGAUUUCGGAAUUCCUUCCCGUGCACUUAGACAAGCUUUGAAAUCUGUUCAGUGAAGGCACAAAUCUCACAGAACAGAACCGGAGAUAAAAAUCUGCUGUCUGUAUCGCUGCCAUCAGAGACGACCGCACAGGAGCUGAGAAGGAAGAGCCCAAGCAAGGCCCAGCAGCCAGCUGACAGUGAUACCCAAGCAGCCUGCUGGCAGCGAUGUGUGCACCCGAGCGCUGCCUCAAGCAGGCAGAGCAUCUCAGCCACCACCUGCACCUAACGUAGGGCUCCGUACCGGGGUGCUCCAGGGCUCACCGCCUGCAGCAGCGCUUUGUUAAGACAGGGCUUUACGGUCUCCAGAGAGCUGCACUCACCUGUUCCCACCAUCAAACCAAGAGCUCAGCUUUGUAAAGAUGCCUCACCUGAAGGAUGCUGAGCAGUUACGGAAAAGCAGCCUCCUCACUACUGAAACCAGAUAAGCUCUAAGUGUACUGCUAACACACAUAUCCCUUGCUGCAAAGGCAACUGAGACCACAAGGCUUACAGCGGAACUCCAAGAUGCUGAUUUUCUUCCUUAAGUCUGCUAAGAUGGCAUAGUGCAGGAUCUUUCAGUCUGAAGGCUCUCUUGAACCAUUGGAGCAGCCUAAAGUGCCUGAAUUCUAGCUCAGAUUUUGGCUUAGGUCACUCUGCCAUCCCAUUCUACUCUUGUACGGAAAGCGAGUAGCACAAGGAGCGGAAGAAAGCCCCAGAAGUUGUACACAACCGUCACUGUGGCUUUUGUGCAAAACUAUUCCUCUCUCCUUCGAGCUCCAUUUGUGUGACACCCACCAUUAACUAAAGCUUAGGGAUUGAAAGUUAUUUUCUUUUCUUAUAAAAGUCUGCUGCUUAGUCAUUCCAGAAUGUCCAAUCCAACUUCUUAUUGCAAAGAGCAGCCCACGUGUGAGUAGAUCUCAACUCGGAAAAAACCCUCCUGGAACAGCCUUUUCAACGAUCGCUGACUUUGGUCCUGCAGCCAUGGCAUGGGGAUGUUUGAUCAUGUCCAAAGCCAGAAAGGAAGAGCUAGGGAGCUUUUGCUGAAUUCAGUGGGUUUUAAGUGGAUCCAGCCAAAGCCCAGCUGACAGCAGAGAUGAGUUACACUUCACAGCUCAGGCACGCAUCAGAGGGCUGUGUACUUCUGUUGCACAGACACCCGAAAAGAGGCAGUACUGAGUGCUCACUGUUCAGAAGAUUUUUCCAUCUUGCAUCACAUGUGGCUUAAUUUUCAUUAAAAACUUGACAUUCUAAACCAUCAGAGCUCUUAGGAAAUGAAAAAGAUUUCCAAGGGACAAGUUUUCUCCAUAAUCAGGGGUGAGGCACGUCCCAUGGCCACUAUCAUCAAAAAAAUAUCAAUGGCAGUUCUUUCCCUUCUGCAGCAGGCCCUCAGCCUCUCCUGGAAGGUCUGCGGAAGCUAUCCUUUCUUCUACCCUACAUUGAUGCUGGAACUUUAGGAAACCCUGGGAGUUUUGCGCUCUCUCCUUCCAGGUGAGCCUCAGAGAGUGCUCUCCUGAAAUGAGGAGGAGCAGAGUAAAAUACAGACCAUUCAGGACAGCUGAGAGAAAAAGAAAGAAAAAAGAGAGUAUGUCCUGCUCCUCGCUAGCAGCUGGGGCUUCCAGGAGCACCCAGCCGCUGCCCAAGGCUUGGGUACCCCGGGCUGGGACCGUGUGAUGCUCCCACCACAGCAUGUCCCAGAGCACAUGGACCAGGGCAUGGAGGGGCCGCAGCCUCCUUGUCCUCAGUCCCAAAGCCACACCUGGUUCUGUGGAGUGAGAAUUCGGAUCUCAGUCGGGUUAACACCUUGGCACAUCAUGGAGGGAUUACAACUUGGCAUUCAAAGAAAUAGGGGUGUGGGUGGCCCAACAGCACAGAACUGUUUCCCAAGUCCCUAACUUCUGCUGCUUUCUGGCACUCAUUUUUUUUGCCCACAGAAUGUCCCCAGGUUUUGAGGUUGGUUUUGAAUGUGAUUCUCAUCCAACUACAUCAACACAGAGAUCCAGUUUUACACGAUGUAGGACAUGGCAAGGUGAAGGAGUGAUCAGCAUUUAGGAUUUUGCUUCUCCUUGCAAAAGUGGCUUAGAAAUGGGUUUUGGAAGAAAUCGGAUGUAACCCAGUACAUUUCCAUAUCCAGAAAAAAACAACAUAAAAAGAAUUUUAGGUGAUUGAGCCCCCCCACCAUGUGCUUCCUUCCAGCACUCAAAAGCCAUGGCUUUAUUUGCAUGAAUAACUAAGAAAGUUCAUUUUGAGCUUAAACAGAACAAAUUUCAAACCACUUCUUAACUGCUGGCUUUGCAAGUUGCACAGUGCUGAUGAGUUCUGUAAAUCACCUGAUCCAGAAGCAUUCUGCUAAGCAAUUUAUGGAGGCAACUGCAAAAAAAUGUGGAGGCCAGCCACUUCCCCGUGGGGCACGAGAUCCAACUGCACAAUUCACAGUGCUGCAUUAGGGCAAAAUUUCUAAAUAUUCUCUGCAAGGAGCACAGUGUCUGCAAAUUGUCCUCCAAAGGGAUCUGUGACUGGCAUGCAAAUGCACGAGGAAGUUAUUAACUUUUUGAGGCUUGUAAAUUUUCUUCUGCAUUCACACAAAGACAGCUGGCUGAAUUAAAGGGUAUCAUAGUAUUAAGGAAAAAGAAAAGCUAGGAGGCAUCACACUUGUUAGGACCAAAGAUUUUGCUUUGUUUUAAUAAGCAAUGGGGAAGAACAAUUUACUCUUCAAAUAACUGCACAGUUGAUGUCAGGGUCUCCAAAACGCAGGCAUUUGAAAUACUGUCUUCAUUUAGAAAAGAAGUAGAGGAGCAGUUGAGGGUUUGGAAGUGAGAUGUAAACUAAACAAAGCGAGAAAACGAAAUGGGUUCCCAACAUGGAUAUAAAAAGGGAGACAGCAACCCAGGGUUGUGCGUUGAGGUCUGUGCUACCAAAACCAAAAUGAAAUCAUUAUUCUCCCCUACAGUGUGGGACUGCAUUGCUCAGAAGAAGGCAGGGGAAACACGGACAAAAGGAGCCACCUUGAUUUUCCUUCUUUCUCAGCAGGAAACAAAUACGAAGCCUGUUCUGGCUCAAGAAGACUGAGCUGCCUAUUUGGGACUUCAUCAGGUUGCAGUGGCUACUUUCUGCUGUUUGGGCAUCAAUUUGGCGAGCCAGCCAGGAGAACUCUCCACCAGUGCUGGAAUCCAGGGGCCUGGGGACCCUCAGGGCCCCUGACUGCAUCUUCUGUCGGCAAGACUCCCCUGCCUCUCGGCUUCUCACACAGGUGGACAAGGACUUCUGUACAACAGAAAAGGUAUCUUAAUAUUCCAACAUACUGCGCCGUCAAGAUCAACAAAGCAGUUUCCUACCACUUGGCCACCGAGCAACAG